GACGCCUACGGGGCGCAGCAGUAGGGAAUCUUCGGCAAUGGGGGCAACCCUGACUGAGCAACGCCGCGUGAGUGAAGAAGGUUUUCGGAUCGUAAAGCUCUGUUGUAAGAGAAGAACGUGUGUGAGAGUGGAAAGUUCACACAGUGACGGUAACUUACCAGAAAGGGACGGCUAACUACGUGCCAGCAGCCGCGGUAAUACGUAGGUCCCGAGCGUUAUCCGGAUUUAUUGGGCGUAAAGCGAGCGCAGGCGGUUGGAUAAGGCUGAAGUUAAAGGGUGGGGCUUAAACAUAGUAUGCUUUGGAA
rnacentral:rRNA from 1 species